UACAGAGGUCUCAAGCGUUGUUCGGAUUCAUUGGGCUUAAAGGGUGCGUAGGCGGCGCGGUAAGUCGGGUGUGAAAUCUUGGAGCUUAACUCCGAAACUGCAUUCGAUACUGCCGUGCUUGAGGACUGGAGAGGAGACUGGAAUUUACGGUGUAGCGGUGAAAUGCGUAGAUAUCGUAAGGAAGACCAGUGGCGAAGGCGGGUCUCUGGACAGUUCCUGACGCUGAGACACGAAGGCCAGGGGAGCAAACGGG
rnacentral:rRNA from 1 species